rnacentral:rRNA from 1 species
AGCGAACGCUGGCGGCAGGCCUAACACAUGCAAGUCGAACGGAUCCUUCGGGAUUAGUGGCGGACGGGUGAGUAACACGUGGGAACGUGCCUUUUGGCUCGGAACAACUCAGGGAAACUUGAGCUAAUACCGGAUGUGCCCUUCGGGGAAGGAUUUAUCGCCAUUAGAGCGGCCCGCGUCUGAUUAGCUAGUUGGUAGGGUAAAGGCCUACCAAGGCUACGAUCAGUAGCUGGUCUGAGAGGAUGAUCAGCCACAUUGGGACUGAGACA